UACGGGGGGGGUAAGCGUUGUUCGGAAUUACUGGGCGUAAAGGGCUCGUAGGCGGCCAACUAAGUCAUACGUGAAAUCCCUCAGCUUAACUGGGGAACUGCGUGUGAUACUGGAUGGCUUGGAUUUGGGAGAGGGAUGCGGAAUUCCAGGUGUAGCGGUGAAAUGCGUAGAUAUCAGGAGGAACACCGAUGGCGAAGGCAGUGAUCCUGGGCCGAUACUGACGCUGAGGAGCGAAAGCGUGGGGGGAGCGAACAGG
rnacentral:rRNA from 1 species